UACGAAGGGUGCAAACGUUGCUCGGAAUUAUUGGGCGUAAAGCGCACGUAGGCGGCAUUGCAAGUCGGAUGUGAAAUCCCUCGGCUCAACCAAGGAAGUGCAUCCGAAACUGCCGUGCUUGAGUACUAAAGAGGAUCGCGGAAUUCCCGGUGUAGAGGUGAAAUUCGUAGAUAUCGGGAGGAACACCAGUGGCGAAGGCGGCUUCCUGGACCGGUUCUGACACUGAGGAGCGAAAAGCGUGGGGAGCGAUCCGG
rnacentral:rRNA from 1 species